GCGCCCGUAGCUUAACUGGAUAGAGCGGCGGCUUGGAAAGCCGCGAGUCCGCGAAGACAUCGGUCCGGGUUCAACUCCCGGCGGGCGUACCA
rnacentral:tRNA from 1 species